GCCUGGGUAGCUCAGUUGGUAGAGCAGGGGACUGAAAAUCCCCGUGUCGGCGGUUCAAUUCCGUCCCCAGGCACCA
rnacentral:tRNA from 2 species